rnacentral:lncRNA from 1 species
UUUCCCCUUUUAUGAAAUACAAAUAUUUGCACAUCCACAAGAUAAAGAGAAAGAACAAGAAAAUAGAGGAAUGAGACACUCUGUCUUUAGGCCCAUAAUAAAUGUUCCGUUCGCCCCCAUGCCGGAGCCCCAACCUCUACCUUACAGAGCUGCAGUGAUCACAUGUCCUGGCAUGCCGUUCUCCCUCUCCAACAGUGUCUUCAUAUAUUAUCUAAACAGCUGGUUUCAUGUGUAUAUUACCCUACACAGCCUCAUCUUUUAUGACGUUGGAUAUAAGUUAUAAAUAAAAGAUCGUGAAUUUAGCCUGUUUUGACUGAGCUCGUUGGACUUUAAAUGGGAAUCAUUGAGACCUACAAAUGUACAUUUCCAUUGUUUUGACGCCAAGGUAUAAUGCCUGGAGUUCAUAAAUAAAAUUAUAUAAAUGAUUCUGUCUUGCAUAAACUGCCAGGGAGACAAUAGGCGAUGUGUCCCUCGGCCCCCUUUGGUGAGCAGGCUGGAGGAAUCACCAGGUUGGUGCAUCCGAGCGAGGCAAAGAGGCAGACCCAGCCAACUACACUGCAAGCAGUUCCAACUGCACAGCCAGGGACAGGCUCCAUGGAAAAGGCUGUUGUUCAACUGUUGGCCUUUUCAGCCCCAUUGUGCGGACAGCAGUUUUUCUCUAGGGUACCAAAGUGUCCCUCUUCAAUUUACAAUAGUGUUUGUAUUUCUUAGCUUCACAAACUGUGAUAUGAGCAAACUAAAUUAUGCUAUUUAACUUGCUUUGUAGGGGAAGAAAGGGACUAGAGUCAAAGCAAAUGGCCACACCGUAGUAGUAAUAGGAUUUAAACCCAUUUCUGCAGACUCCCACUCUAGAGUUCCCUUUACUCUACUGAGCCUCCUAUUUCAAGUUGAAGACAUGAUUAGUUUGUUGGAUUUCAUUAACUAUAAAUUGAACAUGGGUGCUAGAGAUAUGAUGAUAGACAAGAUAGAAGAAUUCUCUGCUUUCCACAAAGUUUAUAGGUCCAUAGGGAAGGCAGACAUUAAAUUAUAUGAUGAAUGCUAUGAUAAGAGAUAUUUAUGAUUCAGCACUGGAUGCUGGAGGCACCUAGUGAUAUCUAAUCUACUCUAGUGGAUCCAGAAAGGCUUCCUGGAACAAGAGCCAUUCAAGAGGACACUGGCAGAUGCACAGAUAUUACCCAAGCAAGGGGAUAGAGUGGAAAGGAGAAUGUGCAGAAUGCCUGAGAUGAGUUACAGUGAUAGGAAGAAAUCCGGAUGGCUGGAGUGAGUAUUCCAGGGUAGGCAGUAGCUAAACCCAGGGUUUUCGAGGCAAUCCUAAAGACAGUGGGCAGGGGAGAAAAACAGACUAUCAGGUGACUAUGUGUGGAGAGCUACAGAGAGCACCAGGAUUAGCUUAACACACCAGAAUAUACAGAGUUCAGUUUAGAGUCCCUUGCCUCAUCCUAUCUGAUACUGUUAAGAAUGCACAUAUAUCUGUUUUCCUAAAAGUAGACUGGGGAAAGAGAAGCCAGUGCUCUCUUACUGGAUGCUAUUCUUCGAUUUAUUUAAUGUAUGUUUACUGAAUAUCUGGUAUAUUCAAGGGCAUGUACCACAUUGUGCUAAGCACUGUUGAACAUUCAACGUACAAGUUAAUAUUUAUUGAGUGCUUGCCUGUUACACACUUAGAGUUGUGGUGAUUAUAAAUGAAGUUGUGGGCCUCGUUUACAGUAAUCUCGCUGAAAGUAGGACACAACAAAAUAAGCAACUAGGCCUGUCUACAAACAGGUAUUAUGCACACUGCUUAAUGUUUUAAUAAACAACCAAGUUGAUCUCAGGGUUAUAUCCAACAAUAAGAGAAUUUUUGGUUUUUAAUGUUAUUUUUUAAAGACUUAGAACUAAUUUCGGUUUUAUAGUACAGGUACCAAAUUAAUUUUUGCUCAAAAAUAUAAGUGCAUAUUAUGUGCUAGGCGUUGUACCAGUGAUACAAAUUGAGGACAUUGUUCCUUGCCUCUGAGAAGCUUGCAAACAAGUGGGAACUAUAACAAUAAAUAUAUUACGGUGGGAUGUGCUAUAAAAAUGUUAGAAGAUGUUAAAGUAAUGUGGGCAACUUUGUAAACCUGUUUAAUUUAUUCCAUUCCAUCAUACUGCAAAAAUGAGAAUAAUGCAUUUCCUGCUUUUUUUUUUUUUUUUUUUUUUUUUUUUUUUGAGACAGAGUUCCGCUCUUGUUGCCCAGGCUGGAGUGCUAUGGUGCGAUGUUGGCUCACUGCAACCUCUGCCUCCUGGGUUCAAGCGAUUCUCCUGCCUCAGCCUCCUGAGUCGCUGGGAUUACAGGCGCCCACCACCAUGCCCAGCUAAUUUUUGUUAUUUUUAGUAGAGACGGGGUUUCGCCAUGUUGGCUAGCCUGGACUCGAACUCCUGACCUCAGGUGAUCCACCUGCCUUGGCCUCCCAAAGUGCUGGGAUUACAGGUGUGAGCCACUGCACCCAGCCCAUUUCCUGCAUUUUUAUUGACACAAUUUUAAAUAAAAUGCUUGAAAUCCAACACAUUUCUGUUUUCUUCUGAAAUGUUCUAAAUAGAACAUUUAUUUGUCUAAUAAAGUUAUAAAAUUGC